rnacentral:misc_RNA from 1 species
GAUGAAGAACGCAGCGAAAUGCGAUAAGUAAUGCGAAUUGCAGAAUUUCCGUGAGUCAUCGAAUCUUUGAACGCACAUUGCGCCCACUGGUAUUCCGGUGGGCAUGCCUGUUCGAGCGUCAUUAUCCUCCCUCAAACCCCGGGUUUGGUGUUGGACCCAAGUUGUGUGAACAACUGGUCUCAAAGACAAUGACGGCGUCCGUGGGACCCUCGGUGCAACGAGCUUUUAGGAGCACGCGCCGAGUUGCAAGGACCUUCCGGGCCGGUCUCCUUUACUAUUUUACAAGGUUGACCUCGGAUCAGGUAGGAAUACCCGCUGAACUCAAGCAUAUCAAUAAGCGGAGGA